GUACACUCCUACGGGAGGCAGCAGUGGGGAAUUUUGGACAAUGGGCGAAAGCCUGAUCCAGCAAUGCCGCGUGAGUGAAGAAGGCCUUCGGGUUGUAAAGCUCUUUUGUCAGGGAAGAAACGGUGAAAGCUAAUAUCUUUUGCUAAUGACGGUACCUGAAGAAUAAGCACCGGCUAACUACGUGCCAGCAGCCGCGGUAAUACGUAGGGUGCAAGCGUUAAUCGGAAUUACUGGGCGUAAAGCGUGCGCAGGCGGUUUUGUAAGUCUGAUGUGAAAUCCCCGGGCUCAACCUGGGAAUUGCAUUGGAGACUGCAAGGCUAGAAUCUGGCAGAGGGGGGUAGAAUUCCACGUGUAGCAGUGAAAUGCGUAGAUAUGUGGAGGAACACCGAUGGCGAAGGCAGCCCCCUGGGUCAAGAUUGACGCUCAUGCACGAAAGCGUGGGGAGCAAACAGGAUUAGAAACCCUGGUAGUCCCAUG
rnacentral:rRNA from 1 species